rfam:Bifidobacterium indicum LMG 11587 = DSM 20214, complete genome.
GGGGCUAUGGCGCAGCUGGUAGCGCGUCUCCAUGGCAUGGAGAAGGUCGGGGGUUCGAACCCCCCUAGCUCCA